rnacentral:rRNA from 1 species
UACGUAGGGGGCAAGCGUUGUUCGGAUUCAUUGGGCGUAAAGGGUGCGUAGGUGGCAUGGUAAGUCGGAUGUGAAAUCCCCGGGGCUCAACCCCGGAACUGCAUUCGAUACUGCUGCGCUAGAGUACUGGAGAGGAGAUUGGAAUUUACGGUGUAGCAGUGAAAUGCGUAGAUAUCGUAAGGAAGACCAGUGGCGAAGGCGGAUCUCUGGACAGUUACUGACACUGAGGCACGAAGGCCAGGGGAGCAAACGGG